CCUACGGGCGGCAGCAGUGGGGAAUAUUGCACAAUGGGGGGAACCCUGAUGCAGCGACGCCGCGUGAGUGAAGAAGUAUUUCGGUAUGUAAAGCUCUAUCAGCAGGGAAGAAAAUGACGGUACCUGACUAAUAAGCUCCGUCUAACUACGUGCAAGCAGCCGCGGUAAUACGUAGGGGGCAAGCGUUAUCCGGAUUUACUGGGUGUAAUGGGAGCGCAGGCGGCUGUGGAAGUCUGGAGUGAAAGGGGGGGGCCCAACCCCAGGACUGCACUUGAAACUGUAAAGCUGGAGUGCAGGAGAGGUGAGCGGAAUUCCUAGUGUAGCGGUGAAAUGCGUAGAUAUUAGGAGGAACACCAGUGGCGAAGGCGGCUUACUGGACUGCAACUGACGUUGAGGCUCGAAAGCGUGGGGAGCAAACAGGAUUAGAUACCCCAGUAGUC
rnacentral:rRNA from 1 species